rnacentral:rRNA from 1 species
UUGACCUCGCAUCAGGUAGGGAUACCCGCUGAACUUAAGCAUAUCA